UUCUAAUAUAAAUUUUUAUUAGUAAAAUCUGCUCAAUGAAUAUUCAAUAGCCGCAAUUCUGUGCUAAGGUAGCAUAAUCAUUUGUUUUUUAAUUAAAAACUAGAAUGAAAGAUUUAACUUUUAAAUUUCUAUUUUAUUUCAAAUAAUAAAAAUUAUUUUAAAUAUUAAAAAAUAUUUAUUAAUAAAAAAGACGAUAAGACCCUAUCGAAUUUAACUUUAGUUUAACUGGGGAAGUUAAUUAAAAAAAUUUUAAUAAAUUAUUAAAUGAUCCAAAAAAUUUGAUUAUAUAAUCAAAUUACCGUAGGGAUAACAGCGUAAUAAAUUUUUAAAGUUCUUAUUAUAAAAUUUGUUUACGACCUCGAUGUUGAAUAUUUUUCUAAUAAAUGCAAUAAUUUUUAUAAGAAAGUCUGUUCGACUUUUAAUUUUUUACA
rnacentral:rRNA from 1 species